rnacentral:sRNA from 1 species
UACCGGCAAACGAAUAAGCCGCUGUCUGGAAUUUCGGCUCGUCCCCCGCCGUCUCCAGACGAUGGACUUGGACCCCCCGCCCCCUCAGUGGUCCUUGUCCGAAAAACGAGCCGUCAUGACCUUCCCCCGGUCGUGGCGGCUUUUC